GUGUGAAAACCAAUGACCCACGCGGCUCCUAUCAAAGCCCUUCACCACGGGGACAAUGGUCACGUGCUUGGAGCACAACGGCGUGGAUCAAUACCGCAUCAGUGCACCCAGAACUGAGAGACCUGUUGGCAUUGCAGUGGACCUCUACAGAGACUGGACUGCCUUUUUCUGGACUGUUAUUGUCUCCGUGUCAUUGCGUGACUUCCUGGUCGAUUUCACUGAUCAGCGGGCAGUGUAUUAUCGAUCGUUCGAAUUUCUCUUGAACUUACAGGACCGGGGACGUGCAUUAAGCGUGAUCGAUCAGUUCCCAGAUGAACUUAGUGUGUUCCAACUGUGGCGGCAGCACCGAGUGGGCUGGUUUACAGAAUCCAUCAUGGUGGCGCCCUGUUUCUGAACGCCGACAGGACUAAGUUCCCAAAACUUAAGUCACCGCUCUCUUCUAUAGCUUACCACUGUCUGAGCAAGAUGGAACAAUUCUUAGGCAAUCGGCCCCGCGAUGGCGAAAUGCUUGACGAAAAGGAAAGGAUGAGAUAUUAAUCUACGGACAACGAUGUCCUGCGCGGUUCAUGUGGGGUUGGACGCUAAUAUCCUGGCAUUGACAAGUACCAAACUUUACGUGUUGGAUGUUGUUCGGAUGGACAUACGGACAUUAAUUCAGUAAGUGCCAGGUAGACGACCUGAAGGUGAAAAAAAUAAAAUUAAAGGUAGGCUACUGUAAACUUCGUACAGCACGACAUGGACAUGGUAAUUGCUGAAAACAAGAUUGAAAGAAACCACGUUAAGACACGUAGGCCUAGUAUUUGGGAUGACUUGAUUUUUACUGCCUGGGGUAAACGAAAACAACGCCGGCAAUCGUGGCAACCUUGAAAUGGCUCUGAAAUUGGCUACUUUUUUCCCAAACUGCUUUUAAAUUGCCGGCUGACACUGUCCACGAAAUGACUGUACACACCAUUUAAUGGCUAGAACAUGACAUAAAAACAAGAUUCAGAGAAAAAUAAUCGUCCAUUUGUAAGCGUUACCUGAAAACAUGACUGGUUAAUGGCAAUGACAGAGCGCUUAAGGGUACCAACUUUGAGUUGAACUCAACUCAGUGCACCAAGAAAAUCACUGAAGAAGAAAAAACUUCCCUCUACACAAAGAAAACAGACGUACAGACGCGUGUCUUUGGUUGUGGACAAACUAUAUUGGGCCCAUGCAUUCAUUCAACUAACCGACGCUCUUAACUUAAGUAGCCUACCUACUUCAAAACUGGAAAAACGAGUCAUGUUUAUUAGUCAAACAUUGUUCCAAACUCACUAUUUAUUAAGUCACCAGUAAAAGAUUUACAACGUCAGAAAACACAUAUUUAUACUGAUAAAAUGUGAAACCCAUUUUAUUUAGCCUAAAUAUGAUAUCAUGUCCCUAGCCAACAUCUGCAUGUUUCAUUUUUGCACACCAUCGCUAGUCCUCCCUCUGCUUCUCUGCAGUUUUCUCCAUAUCAGCUGGUUUUCCUCCAGAUGUUAAUUCACAGAAGCCCACAGCUCUAUGCAAACAUUCUAUUAAUCACGUGUCUUGUCUUUUCUACUUGUUAAUGUAUUUUCUUAUUUAAGUCUUGUUUUCAUUUGUUGCUGGUAUUCUUUUUGCCUAAUUAUAGUAAUUGGUGUUCUACUGCAUCCAGUCUCUAUGUAUAACUGUUAAAAGUAUAUGCUGGUAAGGGUCCAACCUUUCUUUAUUUGUCUUAUUUCUUGAACCUUUCCCCCCAUUAAUUUUUGCCUCUUUAUUGUUUCAUGACCUGGGCUUCACCACAGGGUCCUGGGGCAAUAAUCUAUGCCCUUCACUUACAUGUAGCCAGAUAAAGAAUCUGUCCCCCAUGGAGGAGGGGUGGUGGAAGGUCAAAAAAGAAAGUUUGAUUGAUCCCGUACCCUUCCUGGCAUUCACAUCACUAAUCUGAAAGCAAACAGUGUUUUCAUCGCUGACAGCGACGCGCUUAUUGAUGAAUCGACUGGCGCUGCCGCAUCGGUCAUUAUUUCUUCAUGCGAUGGGUCUCCUUUACUAAUGCACUGGUCGCACAUUUCUCAUCCGUGCUAAAAUCUCUUUGCUUCUCAGGAAGCUGCAUUACCAGUCCCUAGAUUUCCGUUGACACAUUCCAGAGCUGUAGGGCUGUGUAAAAAUGAAGUAUUGUGCGCUCUCUCCGUUCUCAAACGGCUUACCUGCACCUGAUCGACCAGCAGGGGGUGCUGAUUCGCAAUGUGACACUGACAUCCUAGUUGAAUGAAACCCUCCCAUCCCUGGGCGACGCUAGAGCCAAUUGCACUGUAACCUAGCUGGGCUGCAUGCAAUGGCUUUAUCCCCAAACAACCGGGUGGGGAUUUGGAUUAGCUGGGGUCUGAGUUGUUCUAAUUACGAACCUCAUUGCGAACUGGAAGUGUCUCGUCUCUGCCUGAGAUUUAUGCAGAUGUGCGGGGAGUGGCAGACUGCGAAGCUGAGCUCUGCUUUGCUGCAGGAGGUCAGAGGGCUGUGAAAUUAAAGAACGGGGCACGCUUGGCAGAGCAGAUGGAGCCAGCUCAAGGCAUGAGGGAAAAUGAGCUCAUUGCGCGGAGUGGGGGCAACGAGCGUAAAGGAGAGCUUCUGCUGUAGUCUCUGGUGGGAGCGUAUCCCUGCCCCCAGCUGUCCUUCUGCCAUUGGUCGCCUUCUGGACCAAUCAGGAUUAGGACUGGUGUAACAUUAGUUCAGAGCCAGAGCUUUUCUUUGGGCAGGCAAAUCAAUAAGAAAAUGCUGUAUUUCCUCAGUGUACACACACACACACACACACACACAAAACUUCAGUUCAUUCUCAUACACUCAACACAUUCAGGCACGCACAUAUACAAUUCUCGCCAGCUCUUUAAUCCCUUGCAUUAAGCUUGAGAUUGUGAGUGUGAACAUUUGGCGUAGCCUGUGGGAUAGCUAAUAACCACCUGCAGCCAUAACUUAUACAUUAAAAUUAUAUAGAGAUGUGGGCAAAUGUGUAAAAUCUGUCAAAAUAUAAAAUAAUAUAUAUAAUAUAGAUUAAUAUAAAAUAAUAACUUUACAGUAAAUCUGUUAAAGUAUAUACAUUUUAUUUGAUUUGAAUGUAUUGAAUGUACUGUGUGCAAUACUUGGGCAAUAUUUCCUAAAUGUAUUUCAUGUAUUACAGUAAAACAGUUUGAAUUGAACAGAGAUGGGGAGAGAGGAGCAGAGAGGUAGGAGAGAGAGAAAAAGGGGGAUGAGAAAGCCCAACAUUCUUUACAGUGGCUUGACGAGCCACCUGGCAAGGACCCCAAGCCCUGGGGAUUCCAGCCCGUGUUAGUUGACUGCUUGAAGUCUGUGACCCAAAGACAUCACCAAGUGCUGAGUGUCCUUUCUGGUGAUGCUCAGCCAGGGCUGUACAGCAGCCAUCUUCGGCUCCUGCUAGUUUUGGAAGCGGGCUGAGCUGUGGAGUAUGGGGCUGUACUGUACACUGUCCUGUGCAGCAGUCACAGAGAGAGAGACGAAGACUGAGGAGGUAACAGAACCUUCUGGAAAUAAUCAGCAGUGUUUUAGUGAUAUUAGGGUGGUGAUGGAACCGGGUGGUCUGUAAUGGAAACCGAGUUCCAAAGCAUCUACCAUCAUGAUCUCCUUGGUUGCAUUCUGGGAGAAUUUGAUAGAGCUUGUAAAGUGGUAUGAGAACUUUAAAAUUACAUAUUAAAUCUAUCUGAUCAUAGUUCUUGUUAAUACUAUGAGUGUAUUUGUUCACGUUCUCUCAUUUUUAUGCAGGUGUUCUUUAAAAACUAGCAAGCAUGCUUCAUUUGUAAAUGAUUAUGUGUGUGCGCAUGUGUCUAUGUGUAACCAUCACACAAGACUGACAAGAAAUUACAACGCACAAUAUGAGCUCUCAGCAUUCCCUGCCUAGUCAACGGCAACGGCAGCAGGUGCUUAUCUUCAAAAUACGCCACAAGCUUGCAAGUAUCCGAAAGGUUAACAACCUUUUUAUUAACCCUUUGAAGCGGAGGUAUUUGGAAUGUUUCUUCCAAAUUUUAAGUCGGUGUUCUAGAACUACAUUAUUUCAUUUACCAGCAGUGAUGGUUACUUCAGCAUUAGAAUGUUCUAUUAAGAGCAUUGUAAUCACAUAUUUGUGAUCUUACAGGGUUAAAAGGAAGGUUAUGCAGAAAGUGCUAUGAGUCAUUCCCCUUCCUUUCCACCCUCAAUUAUGAGCUUGCACUCUGAGGCAAUGCACAGUCUCAGUUCCCUGAGGUGGAUUUAAGCAGCGAAGGGAGUUAGAAACGAGUGCAGUGCUUUCCGAGAGACAUGCGAGCCGCCUUCUCUGCCUUCUGAUGCCGGUCCAAAGCGAAGGAAUUUCCCAGCAGUCUGGGAAACUGCGGUACAUACUUAAUGCCAAAUUAUUUGGUAUCUUUGGAGGUGGGGAAAAGAAGUUGAAGUUUCUGAAUGUGCAUUUCACGUCUCCCUUCAUGGUGGUGAAAUGUGUCCAUUUGAGUUGGUCAUAUCUCCCAUGCUAUGCAUGCAUCUAUUUAGGUAUGCUUUUUGCAUGAGCCGCUUCUCAAAGUUAUGCAAGAUUUUACAUUCAUUUGACCAUGUGUUAGACAGCUGGCUGGGCGGUAGCCAGUGGACACACCUUGAUGCCUGCACAACCCACUCCAUCCCACCCCCGCUUCCUUUUUUUGCGAUAUCAUACAUUUUUUCAUUUCUCGUAUUAGGUUCAGGCCUUUCUCAGCUUAAUGUGCAACCAAAAAAGUUUAUUUUUAA